rnacentral:rRNA from 1 species
UGACGAACGCUGGCGGCGUGCCUAAUACAUGCAAGUCGAGCGGACGAUUCAAAAGCUUGCCUUUGAAUCGUUAGCGGCGGACGGGUGAGUAACACGUGGGCAACCUGCCCUGUAGACGGGGAUAACACCGAGAAAUCGGUGCUAAUACCGGAUAACACGAGAGACCGCAUGGUUUUUCGUUGAAAGGCGGCGCAAGCUGUCGCUACAGGAUGGGCCCGCGGCGCAUUAGCUAGUUGGUGAGGUAACGGCUCACCAAGGCGACGAUGCGUAGCCGACCUGAGAGGGUGAUCGACCACACUGGGACUGAGACACGGCCCAGACUCCUACGGGAGGCAGCAGUAGGGAAUCUUCCGCAAUGGACGAAAGUCUGACGGAGCAACGCCGCGUGAGCGAAGAAGGCCUUCGGGUCGUAAAGCUCUGUUGUUAGGGAAGAACAAGUACCGCAGUCACUGGCGGUACCUUGACGGUACCUAACGAGAAAGCCACGGCUAACUACGUGCCAGCAGCCGCGGUAAUACGUAGGUGGCAAGCGUUGUCCGGAAUUAUUGGGCGUAAAGCGCGCGCAGGCGGUUCCUUAAGUCUGAUGUGAAAGCCCACGGCUCAACCGUGGAGGGUCAUUGGAAACUGGGGGACUUGAGUGCAGAAGAGGAGAGCGGAAUUUCCACGUGUAGCGGUGAAAUGCGUAGAGAUGUGGAGGAACACCCAGUGGCGAAGGCGGCUCUCUGGUCUGUAAC